UCCAUUCGGGUCAAAAGGGGGUUAGGAUUCCUGGUUUUCACCCAGGCGGCCCGGGUUCGACUCCCGGUAUGGGAA
rnacentral:tRNA from 1 species